rnacentral:rRNA from 1 species
GACAGAGGGUGCAAGCGUUUGUUCGGAUUUAUUGGGCGUAAAGAGCGCGUAGGCGGCUUGGUAAGUCGAAUGUGAAAGCCCAAAGCUCAACUUUGGAAGUGCAUUCGAUACUGCCUCGCUUGAGUUCCGGAGAGGGUGGUGGAAUUCCCGGUGUAGUGGUGAAAUGCGUAGAUAUCGGGAGGAACACCAGUGGCGAAGGCGACUUCCUGGCCUGUUCUUGACGCUGAGGCGCGAAAGCGUGGGGAGCAAACAGG